rnacentral:lncRNA from 1 species
AAUCAUUUUUAAGGACCUAAUAAUUUUUGAGGAUUUUAUUAAAGGAUAGAUGAGAAGAAAAAAUCCAGCCAAUUUUAAUCCUCCCACUGACUUCAUCAAGUCAGAUUAAAAAAGAUUUAAUUAAAGCUGGCAUUAGGAGCACCUAAAUCAGUCAAACUGAUUUACCUAAUGACAUGGGUGAGCCCUAAUCAUCAAGUGAUCUAAUCAAAACCUAAUUCACCAGGUUGGCCAGGUAAGUGAGAUCAGUGGUGGGGAUAAGCCAUUAACUCGUCAGA